rnacentral:rRNA from 1 species
UACGGGGGGUGCAAGCGUUGUUCGGAUUUACUGGGCGUAAAGGGCGCGUAGGCGGUCAGCACAAGUCAGUUGUGAAAUCUCCGGGCUUAACUCGGAAAGGUCAACUGAUACUGUGCGACUAGAGUGCGGAAGGGGCAACUGGAAUUCUUGGUGUAGCGGUGAAAUGCGUAGAUAUCAAGAGGAACACCAGUGGCGAAGGCGACUCACUGGACACAUAUUGACGCUGAGGUGCGAAAGCUUGGGGAGCAAACAGG